rnacentral:rRNA from 1 species
GACGAACGCUGGCGGCGUGCUUAACACAUGCAAGUCGAACGGAAAGGCCCUGCUUUUGUGGGGUGCUCGAGUGGCGAACGGGUGAGUAACACGUGAGUAACCUGCCCUUGACUUUGGGAUAACUUCAGGAAACUGGGGCUAAUACCGGAUAGGAGCUCCUGCUGCAUGGUGGGGGUUGGAAAGUUUCGGCGGUUGGGGAUGGACUCGCGGCUUAUCAGCUUGUUGGUGGGGUAGUGGCUUACCAAGGCUUUGACGGGUAGCCGGCCUGAGAGGGUGACCGGCCACAUUGGGACUGAGAUACGGCCCAGACUGCUACGGGAGGCAGCAGAGGGGAAUAUUGCACAAUGGGCGGAAGCCUGAUGCAGCAACGCCGCGUGCGGGAUGACGGCCUGCGGGUUGUAAACCGCUUUAGCCUGUGACGAAGCGUGAGUGACGGUAAUGGGUAAAGAAGCACCGGCUAACUACGUG